UACGGAGGGUGCGAGCGUUAUCCGGAUUCACUGGGUUUAAAGGGUGCGUAGGUGGGCAGGUAAGUCAGUGGUGAAAUCUCCGGGCUUAACUCGGAAACUGCCAUUGAUACUAUCUGUCUUGAAUACCGUGGAGGUCAGCGGAAUAUGUCAUGUAGCGGUGAAAUGCUUAGAUAUGACAUAGAACACCAAUUGCGAAGGCAGCUGGCUACACGAAUAUUGACACUGAUGCACGAAAGCGUGGGGAUCAAACAGG
rnacentral:rRNA from 1 species